AUUUCUUUAAUUCACUAACAAUUACAACUAAUUUAUUUAAUUCAGUAAAAAAUUCAACGAAUUUCUUUAAUUCACUAACAAUUUCAACGCAUUUUUUUAAUUCACUAACAAAUUCAACUAAUUAACUUAAUUCGCUAACAAAUUCAACGGAUUUCUUGAAUUCACUAACAAAUUCAACGAUUUUCUUUAAUUCACUAACAAAUUCAACUAAUUUCUGUAAUUGACUAAUAAAUUCAACUAAUUUCUUUAAUUCACUAACAAAUUCAACUAAUUUCUUUAAUUCACUAACAAAUCCAACGCAGUUCUUUAAUUAACUAAAAAAUUCAAUAAAUUUCUUUAAUUCACUAACAAAUUUAACGCAUUUCUUUAAUUUACUAACAAAUUCAACGAAUUUCUUUAAUUAAUAACAAUUUCAACAAAUUUCUUUU
rnacentral:lncRNA from 1 species